AACUCGUUUAUCAUAUAUUUUUUCAAAUAUUGUUUUUUUGAAACAUAAUAAAAUUUUCUGAAAAUUCAAAGGUUUUUCCAUUUCUGUCUCUAAAAAAUUUGACUUUUGGACAUUAACAAAAAAUUGCUACCGACAAGUUGUUUUUUGACGAUUCGCCUCCGGUUCUGGGUAAAUUUGAGUACAGAGAAAGUUAUAAUCCAAAAGUGAAGUGCAUUGGCUUUAAAUGGCAUAUACAAAUCAAGUACCAAUAUCCGGAUAGAACUUUGAACAGAUAUGGCCUGCAAGCAUCAUGCCACCCGAGCUAUGUAUAUACAUAUGUUCAAAAUUUGUGUGCAAAUAAAAACAGCUCUAUCAAAUCACCAAAAUAACAGUUCAUUGCUAGCAAUGUAUGGCAUGAAAUGUAUUUAGACAUCAAUUGCUAAACAUUAGCAAUGUGCAGUCUCCAUUGGCAAUGUAUAUGAUAUAUGUUCGCUGCGUCAAAUGUCAAAACUGUUCACUUACAUAGUAAUUUUGAAAUUUAUUGGGCAAAGAAAAAUAUUAUUUGUGUACAAGAAAUUGAAAAUUAUGGAUGACAUUGACUUUCUGGAGGACUUACUACUUUUGAAGAUGAUUGCAUGUAGACAACGCAGUGGAAACCAAGAGAUUUUCAAAACUCGUAAAAACCAUGGAUUUUACUCAAGCGGAGUUAAUGUAUUGAUCAAAAAGAAUCCAGGAUUAUUUAUGAAAUCUACUAGGUUCACUCAUGAGCAGUUUAAAGUAUUGUUGAAUUUGGUUGAGCCAUGGCUGCGGAAAUACUCCCGCAGAAAUCCCAUUGAGCCAGAGCAGAGAUUGUAUAUAACCUUGCAUUUCUUAGCUCAUGGCAACGCUCUUCGUCUGUUAUCUAUGAAGUUUCGAAUUGGCCUAGAGACAGCCAGAUCUAUCAUAUUAGAGACGUGCGAUGCUUUGUGGCGUGCUUUGGCCAGUCAUUACUUGAACCCACCUAGUAAUGCGAAAUGGAAACAAAUCUCGGAGGAUUUUUGGAAUGUGACCAAGUUACCACAUUGUUUAGGGGCAAUCGAUGGUAAACAUGUACAAAUAAAUUGCCCACCUAAUUCACGUUCACAAAAUUUUAAUUAUAAACAAUUUAAUAGCAUCACACAGAUUUUACUUGCAGCCUGCGAUAGCAAUUAUCGUUUUACUUUUGUGGACGUUAGCGCAUAUGGCAGUAAAAACGACGGCGGCAUGUUUCGGAAUUCCCAGUUUGGAAAAGGGAUUUUAGAUAAAUCUAUGGAUGUUCCAGCUGCAACAAACUUGCCCAACUCAGACAUAGUUUUUCCUUACUACUCAUAGCUGAUGCGGCAUUCCCUUUAGAGGAAAACAUAUUGAAGCCUUAUGAAACGGAUAUUGAUGUCAAUAAAGCAGUUUUCAACAAAACGUUGUGUAAAGCUAGAAAACAAAUUGAGAUUGCUUUCGGUAUACUUACUUCUCGGUGGAGAGUAUUGAGCGCAUCCAUAUCUUUUUCACCGGAAAAUGCCAAAAAAGUUAUAUUAGCAACAAUAGUGCUCCACAAUUUCCUGAGGUUCGGUAAGGUGAACUCUACUGCUGCAGAGGAAACAAACAAUUACAAUAUGACGAGUGUAAACAGACACGAUUUACUAACUGCUAAUACAUCGAGUCAAUCUGCACUUAAUUUAAGAAAUAAACUUUGUGAAUAUUUUAAUUCUUCAUUAGUAUAAACAUGUAUAUUUAAAAAAAA